rnacentral:lncRNA from 1 species
AUGCAAUUGCUCAGAUCACUCUUCCUUUUUAGACAAACAGGCUCAAUCAACACCUUUUACACCAAUCGCGAUUACCACAACCCAAGGGGGAGCCAACAAUUGCUACUUCCCUGCGUACAACUUGCAGGUACUGCCCCUUCGUGGGAGCUCCGCAGGAGCCUGUCCCACCCCAGCCGGCAACCUAACCAACCUGUGAGCUCACGUUCCAAGGGGGGAGCAUUCACUCCUUCAUACCCUGCUGAUCGAGUGAGGAAGGGAGUCCUUCCGAGAAUCCUCGGGGCGCGCCAAAGGCGUCCCCUCACUCAGCCGGUCCUGCAGCCGAGCAGAGAAGGUCCCAUCUGGGGUGCCAAAUUGAUUUGCGGAAUCAAACUCUGUAACCCAAGUGAGAUUACAAAGCAGGUAUGUUUUAUUCAGCACUGCGCAUAUGCCGGGGGCAAGGGGGAUAUUUCCUCCUAGCUUGCCCACCGGUCAGCAAAAACACCACACAUUUAAAAGCCAAGCUUAUACAUAUUAAGCAGGUUUCCCGGGACUCAUCUACAUAUUCAGCAGGUUUCCCGGGACCCAUCUACAUAUUCAUCACUUCCUGGGAAUUCCUUUGCAUAUGGUCCGUCCCUCCAGCGCAUGCGUUGUAGUUCCUCCUGGUGGUCGUAGGAUGACGGCUCGAGGUCUUCCUCCCUCCUCCUGGUGGUCGUUGGAUGAAGGUUCGACGUCUUCAUCACUCUGCCCUUUUCACCCCACUGCUGCUUUGCAGAGUCACUCUGCCUUCACUCGGUUCCUUGUACUGGUCCCUGCUGAUAAUGGAGUUUCGCCGAGUUCCUUUUCUUAUCUUGCCUUACAUUCUACUUACCCCAGCCCCAUGCAAUAGUUAACCCUUCGACUGUCCUCUCUAACUCAUACAGAUGACAGCUUUCUGACACAAGUCAUAGAGGAGCCAAAGAGGAGAGGUGCUCUGCUGGAUCUUAUACUAACCAGCAAGGAGGGGCUUGUUGAGAAUGUGAAUGUCAGAGAGAUCCAGGGCUGCAGCGACCAUGAGAUGGUGGUGAUGAGGCUUCUGAAGGGAGGGCAAAAGACAAGCUCUCAGCCCUGGGCUUCAGGAGAGCAGGCUUUGGCUUCUUCAAGAUUUUGAGUGCAGUCCAGCAGGGUAGUAGUCAGAGGGGAAUAGUGUUCCAGCAAGCUGGUAAAUAUCCAAGGUACGCUUCCUUCAAGUAAAAGAGGUCAAUCCCAAUGAAGCCGGGCAAAAAUGCCACAUGUCCUGUAUGAAUGGAAACGACAGACCUGGUGAAACCCAAACACAGAAAGGAAGCAUAGAGAAGGUGGAAACAAGAAGAGAUAACCCGUUGAAAAUACAGAGAUAUUAUCUGCAUAUCCAUGGAGGGAUGAAUUUAGGAUAGAUAGAGCUCAAUUGCAAUGAACUCCUAAAUAAAUGAAAACAGCUUAGGGCUUUUGUGGGGGGG